AGCAGCCGCCGCGGUAAUACGUAGGGUGCGAGCGUUAAUCGGAAUUACUGGGCGUAAAGCGUGCGCAGGCGGUUCGUUAAGACAGAUGUGAAAUCCCCGGGCUUAACCUGGGAACUGCAUUUGUGACUGGCGAGCUAGAGUAUGGCAGAGGGUGGUAGAAUUCCACGUGUAGCAGUGAAAUGCGUAGAGAUGUGGAGGAACACCGAUGGCGAAGGCAGCCCCCUGGGCCAAUACUGACGCUCAUGCACGAAAGCGUGGGGAGCAAACAGGAUUAGAUACCCGCGUAGUCCCUGUCUCUUAUAA
rnacentral:rRNA from 1 species